AUUGAACGCUGGCGGCAUGCCUUACACAUGCAAGUCGAACGGCAGCGCGGGGGCAACCCUGGUGGCGAGUGGCGAACGGGUGAGUAAUGCAUCGGAACGUGCCCCGUAGCGGGGGAUAACCAGUCGAAAGACUGGCUAAUACCGCAUACGCUCCACGGAGGAAAGCAGGGGAUCGCAAGACCUUGCACUAUGGGAGCGGCCGAUCGCCCGAUUAGCUAGUUGGUGAGGUAAAGGCUCACCAAGGCGACGAUCGGUAGCUGGUUUGAGAGAACGACCAGCCACACUGGGACUGAGACACGGCCCAGACUCCUAC
rnacentral:rRNA from 1 species